ACAGCGACCGUGAAAUUUAUGACCCGACAGUGGUGGGCCUGGAUCCUUAAACUAUGUGAAAUACGUUCGACUAUACAACGUCAUAUACAGUGGGUUGUGCGAUCGGGAUGCCAGUGGAUGAGGGAGAUAAAGAGCACACCUCUGCUCGUGCUCAGAACAGCACUUUCGCGGUGUUUCUGGACACGAGAGCACAUGUGCUCGCUAUCUGGGAGGGUCGUUCAUGUCUUGAGAUGCGGCGCAUUUAAUGGCGAAGCAACAGGAAACGGCGGAAUGCCGGCCACCGUUACCCCGUCGGAGUUGAUCCCUGCCGGCGUGCGAAGGAGCAUCCCGAGAUCUGGCUCAUGGAGUUCGUGAUGCAACCAAUACAAAGAUCCCCUUUGACUGAGGAGGCGGAUGGAAGUGUAGCGCCGAUGGAUCUGCUGGCUUUCGGGACGGUGGGCUCUCUGCGGGAAGUGGAUGAAGCGACGGCCGCAGCCUUGAGUGAAGAUCCGUGGAUCUAUGAAGAAGAAACGAGCGUUGACUCAAGGCGGGAGAGCUGGCCGCAGGUGUUGGUCUGUUGGAGAUGUCAAUCGGCAAGUUCUGAUCCGAAUAAUACAUUAUGAGUUUCUGGCUCCGAGCCUCUGAAAAUCGGCGUAACAGUACUUGCAUAGAGCUAUGAUAUUCUUCGUUAGAGUACAGAUGUGAGUGCACUGAUUUGUACUUCCUCCGUUUUAAAAUAGAUGACCCAACUUUGUACUAAUUUUAGUACAAAAUUAGUACAAAGUUGGGUCAUCUAUUUUGGAACGGAGGGAGUACAAAUUAGUCAUGAAAUGGUGAACAUCAGCAACUUAUAAAUGUGGAUUACGGGUAGGUGAAGUGUUGGAAAAAGUACUUGGACAAUUUGUACAGCUAUGUCUUGUUCUAAUUUCACUGUACUAGUAAGCAUGCACGUGCAACGCACGACUGAUUAGUAUGUUAUUUUAUAUCCUAAUUGAGCUUCUUGA